UAGUAGAAACUGGCAUCAACGUCUCAAAUUCCUCCAUAACUGUCUGUACUUGUCCCAAGUAAGUAGACAUAUUUAAUUCCUAUUUUUUUAAAUUUAUCAUCCGCGAUAUCACAUCAUAGAAACGAGAUAUGUAUUAGUGUAUGAAGUACGAGCCUUUUCCCAAACCAAAUAACAUGUCUGGAAUGGACGAAACAAGGACAUCAACUUGGAAUCAAUAGAUCGCCACAAAAUACCGCAUAAUU
rnacentral:lncRNA from 1 species